GCAGGCUGGGUCCCCUGCACCUUCCUUCGCCUACCCAGGUCCCCGCCGCCCGCAUUGAUUCCACAUUAACAUGCAGCAGGCAUGGGAAAAUGAUAAACUCCUACACCACUGUCAUGGCAACUGAAAAAAUGGCCGCUUUAGAGGGGUGCGGGGAACGAGGGCCACGGGGAAAGAAAAGCCAAGGCCUGUCUCUUUUCUUCCGGUCUGACAUCUGUCGUUUAACAUACAAAAUUGUAUUAUCGCGAUGAAGGCGCGCUGCCCGGCUGGAGCCUCGCCCGGGAAUGAAGGGAGUUCGGCUCCGAAGGAAGAGUGAACGAGCCCUCCGACAUUCCCACCUAGAGCUGACGUUCCCCCACCUCUCAGCAUUCCAGUGGGAAUCUCAGCUCACAUUUAGGAAUAUACCUGGUGCUAGGAGGCUUCAUUCUCUCUGUAUUUUAAAAAUGUGAACACAAAUCUUUGGUACCUGUGGAUGGCAGUUAUCUGGCUGCGGUGUGAAGCCUACUGUUUUCAAGGACAGACAUUCGGCUGACUGCCCAAGAAUAAAAAUAGUGGAGAAUCAAAGGGUUCUGCUCGCAUGAAGGACGGGCUCAAGAGGAGCCACACCAGCUCAGCUCAAAUCACCUUCUCCAAUCUCAUACAGUUCUCCCGGGCUUUCAAAGUCUGCAGGACAAGGGGUCUGUGCCUGGUGCCACUGGAGGUCAGAAAAGGGCAUCGGAUCCCCUGGAACUGGAGAUACAGGUGGUUGGAAGCCUACCUGAGGGUUAUGGGAACCAGACCUGGGUCCUCUGCCCGAGAGGCCGGUGAUCUUCGCUGCUAAGCCAUCUUCCUACCGAGCCAUCUCUAGGUCCAGAAAACAAGUGAUUCAGUGAGGAGCAGAGGUGAGUCACUGGACCUGGGGCUAUGCAUUUGGCUACUCUGGCUGGCCUGCGCGCAUCGUGGAUCCUCCUGUUUCUUAUAGGAUUAUAAGCGGGGCCUGCCUGCACCGGAGUUUACAUGGGUGCUGGGGAUAUGAACUCCGGUCCUCAGGAACGUGUGGGCCGAGUGCUUUCUGACCGAGCUGCCUUCUUGAAGCCGGGGUUGGAGAGCAGAGGGGACAGUGUGGGAGGAAGGAUCCUGGGGACACGGAGAAGGCCUGCAGGACGGCCAGGGCAGGGCACGUAGGAGUGACAGACCCCAUGAGAACCUCCCUGUGCAUUAGCGAGUCCCCCACCCCCAGAGCAAGCACCGCCGCUGUUUACCCAGAGAGCGAUCAAUCACGUGGUGGGAAAUGCAGAGUGGAGCCCGGAGCUGGAGACAAACACCGGACACAGCCUCCAUCUGAGGAACACGGGGCCUCUGGGGCAGGGGCUUCCGUUUGCUUGGUUGGUUGGGUUUUUGGUACCAGGGUCUUGCUAGGUAGCUGUGUUAGUCAACAGAAUGAGUAUGUAUUCAAAAAGGGGGUGCAUUCAGUUGGCUUACACAAUACCAUCUAAGACCCCCAACAAUGGCUGUCUCCUACUGAAGAGGCUGAGAACACCUUAGCUGCUCGGUGCACAUGGCUCGAUGCCUCAGUGGGCCCUGAAGGCCUGGGGGAUUCCUGGAGAGUCACUGGUCUCCAGUCCACAUUGGAUGACUCAAGUCGUCAAGAAUGACAGAGUUGCCUGCAGCAGCAGCAGUGACAACUUUCCCAGCUCCAGCUUCCUUCUACCUGGCGGCCACUGGAAGGUGCCACCCAGGUUUAGGGUGGGUCUUCUCACUUGAAUUAAACUGAUGGAGAAAACCCUCACAGGUGUCCUCGGCAGUUUGCUUGUUACCCGAUUCCAGAUCCAGGCAAGCUGACAAAGCAUCAUCAUCACUGCGAUUCUCCUGCCUCAGCCUCGAGUACUAGAGUUUUGGAGAAGGGUAGACCCAAGAGGCUCUUCCCCUGUGUUUCAAUGCAGCAGAAAUCACAAGCAGGUUUGGUUCCCAGUGCCUGCACCUGGAGGCUCUCAACGCCUGUAACUCCAGGCGCCCUCUUCUGGCCCCCAUGGGCACCUGCAGUCACA